UACAGAGGUCCCGAGCGUUGUUCGGAUUCACUGGGCGUAAAGGGUGCGUAGGUGGCGUGGUAAGUUUGAUGUGAAAGCUCAGGCUUAACCCUGAAAUGGCAUUGAAUACUACUGUGCUGGAGGUUUGGAGGGGGGACUGGAAUUCUUGGUGUAGCAGUGAAAUGCGUAGAUAUCAAGAGGAACACCAGUGGCGAAGGCGGCGAGCUGGUCCGUUACUGACGCUGAGGCGCGACAGCGUGGGGAGCAAACAGG
rnacentral:rRNA from 1 species